rnacentral:rRNA from 1 species
UUGAACGGCCAUAGCGACCUGGUCCUACCUGAUCUCGUUUCGAUCUCAGAAGUCAAGCAGGUCCGCGUUUCAGAGUGUACUGCUCUACUGUGAGUGGGAAACCUGAUUCGCUGUUCACU